rnacentral:sRNA from 2 species
GGACAUCACGGACCGAAGUCAGGGGCGAGGGCGGGGGACCCACCACGUCCUUCUUAGAUGACCGGCCGACCGUCGCACCCCACCGGGAGCGGCGCGGCCUCGGGGUGAAGCCUCGCCCGUUCCAAGCCGGGAACGACGCGGGGCCGGGCUACCUCUCAGCCCGAAUCCGACAGCUGACCUCGCAGGCGCGUGUGGAGAGGAAAC